rnacentral:rRNA from 1 species
UACAGAGGUCUCAAGCGUUGUUCGGAUUCAUUGGGCGUAAAGGGUGCGUAGGCGGCGCGGUAAGUCGGGUGUGAAAUCUCGGAGCUUAACUCCGAAACUGCAUUCGAUACUGCCGUGCUUGAGGACUGGAGAGGAGACUGGAAUUCCUGGUGUAGCGGUGAAAUGCGCAGAUAUCAGGAGGAACACCGAUGGCGAAGGCAGCUCGCUGGGACGGUACUGACGCUGAGGCGCGAAAGCGUGGGGAGCAAACAGG